UACGGGGGGGGCAAGCGUUGUUCGGAAUUACUGGGCGUAAAGGGCGCGUAGGCGGUUGGAUAAGUCAGCUGUGAAAACCACGAGCUUAACUCGUGGCCUGCAGUUGAGACUGUCUGGCUUGAGUGUGGGAGAGGAGAGUGGAAUUCCUGGUGUAGCGGUGAAAUGCGUAGAUAUCAGGAGGAACACCGGUGGCGAAGGCGGCAUCCUGGACCGGUAUUGACGCUGAGGCGCGAAAGCUAGGGGAGCAAACGGG
rnacentral:rRNA from 1 species